GCAGGUCAUUCUUCAAGAAGGAAAUCUUAGAGAAGCAGGAGCAGGCUGUCCCUGUGAGAGGAAAGAUGAGCUGGCAGGGAAGAAGACUGGCUGGGCUGGACAGAGAGCUUCAACUGUAACUUGGGAAUAAAAGGAGAAUUUAUAACCUUUGGAAAAAGGGGCAGGCAACUCAGGAAGACUACAAGGAUGCUGUAAAGUUAUGCAGGGAGAAAAUUAGAAGGGCCAAAGCCCAGCUAGAGCUGAGCCUGGCUACUGCCAUAAAAGGCUACAAAAUAUCUUUCUAUAAACACAUUAGCAACUCAGUUCCUCGGAUCAGCUGACUGAAGCCAGCUCGGCUGGAGCCGGGAGCGAAAUCUCGAAGCUACAGAGGUAAGAGAAGGUAAAGAGAGGGGUUUCUGGUCGCGUUUUCGAUUCCUCUACCCGGGAGUCCCCGGCAGCACUUGCAGAACCGGCUGACGUGGCGCGGCCGUUACCACGGUGACACGGGAGAUUUAAAAGCGGCUGUAACUCGAGACAAGCACUCAGGUCCUCGGAUCAGCUGACUGAAGCCAGCUCGGCCGGAGCCGGGAGCGAAAUCUCGAAGCUACAGAGGUAAGAGUGAUGAGGAUUCAACAAGUAGAGAAGGACAUUCUUUGUAUACAACAGAUUCUGCAAUCACAAGCAGCUGAAGCACAGCAUGCCCUGGCCUCCAAGAGGGCCAACCGUGUCCUGGGGUGCAUCAAGCACAGCAUUUCCAGCCGCUCAAAGGAGGUGAUUGUCCUGCUCUGCUCUACACUGGUGCGGCCUCACCUGGAGUACUGUGUGCAGUUCUGGGCGCCACAGUAUAAAAAAGAUAUUAAGCUACUAGAAAGUGUCCAGAAGAGGGCUACAAAGUUGGUGAAGGGUUUGGAGAGGAAGACUUAUGAGGAUCAGAUAAAGUCACUUGGCUUGUUCAGCUUGGAGAAGAGGAGACUAAGGGGAGACCUCAUCACAGUUGACAGCUUCCUCACAAGGGGAGGAGGAAGGAGGGCACCUCAAAGCAAGCAUGAUGUGGUUUCCAUGAUACAGAGAGGCACAAUGAAGGUCAAGGAGCAGCAGAAAUCAGCAUAGCAACUACUGGUACUGGUCGUCAGUGCCAGCUCCAGUUGAUCAUCAAAUCUGUCCUGCAGUGUGUGUUUUGAUGAAACUUUCAUUUGAUGAAGAACACAGACAUGACAUGAAUGAGCUUGGAGUUUUGCAGGCCAUUGCAGAACUGUUGCAAGUAGAUUGUGAAAUGUAUGGACUUACAAAUGACCACUAUAGUAUUACAUUAAGGAGGUACACUGGAAUGGCUCUCACAAAUUUGACUUUUGGAGAUGUGGCAAACAAGGCUACAUUAUGUUCUAUGACAGACUGCAUGAGAGCUCUUGUAGCCCAGUUGAAGUCUGAAAGUGAAGAUUUGCAGCAGCUCCUUGCAAGUGUUUUGAGGAACUUGUCCUGACGAGCAGAAGUAAACAGUAAAAAAACUCUACGUGACGUUUGUAAUAAGUGAUGGUCAAAAUUGUUAAUGUUGAACAAAUUGAGUAGGAUUCAAUUAUAUUAUGCAUAUUGUUGUAAGCAGGAACUGCGCUUGUGCAAGUUUGAUCAUGUUUUGUAGAACCUUGUAGUAGUAGUUAAGCCAACGUCUGGAUCGCCUGGAUGGGGCAGCGGGGCCCAGGCCAGGCUGGAGCCUGGAUGGCGCAGCGGAUGACGAAGCGCCCAAAUGGUGCAACAGAUAACAGAACUCCCGGAUGGUGCAACAGAUAACAGAACUCCAGAAGCAGAAACACCCAGCAACACCCAGCGCGUGAACGAGCGUAUAACAUAUAUAAGCACAUACGAAAAGUUGAGUGUGUGUGCCGGUUGGCGGAACUGAGCUUCCCCCGGUCACCCAGCGCUGUUUUGCCUAAUUACCGCUUGCUCAAUAAAAUCGAUUGAUUGGCUCAAAAUCGAUUGAUUGGCUCUUAUUUAUAACAAAUUUUGGUGCCGUGACUCGGAUUAAGGAUCUCUGGGAGGGACUACUAAACUUCAGGGAGGCGCCCCGUCCCGUUUUCAGACGGCCCUGGAGUGGACGGAGGAUCACCCUGAAACCUUAACCUCCGAACCCUAAAUUUAGGUAAUUAGGCAAAAGAAUUGAACCCCAUAAACCUUUGUGCACGAAGAACCAGACGAAGACCCCAGGGAGAGGGGACCUUUCCUUGUUUUACUCACCACAGAUACCGCAGUCCGCACCACGGAAAGAGGAUGGACACACGCUAGUCGAGUAAAAGGUCCUAUCCUGCACACAGACUGGGAAGUCACCGGGGAACCGGAUGAGUUGAAGCUGACCUUCAAGAGGAAACAGACACGUGACGCAUAGCCCUGGAUACUAGGCUUUUUAUGGACAAUUGUAAGGAAUUACAUAAGUCGCACAUCACAUGUCCUGUAUGUAAGCAAUGCAAUCCGUGGGUACGUCGCGUGUGUAACGGGUGCGGGAUACAGCAGUGAAAAAAAAAAAAAAAGUUUCCUUAUGUUGAACGAUGGUGUAAUGAGUGUUGGGGAAAACCCUUAGAUACCAUUAGGAUAUUAAUAAUCACUGAUAAGUCCAGAUAUUUGGGAAACAACCAAGAGGAAGUGUAAGAAGCGUUUUUGGUAAGAAAAGAUACAGGAAGUGUUCCAAACCCUGUGAGGAUUCGGGACAGUGGCCAAACCCUUGUAUUUGAAAAUAGCCCUAUUGGGUUGAGUAUUGGAAAGUGGGUUGUGACAGAACAAGGAGAGAAUUCAGGAGGCAGUCCCCUGAAGACUACAACUGCUGCCGAGAAGAUAACUUACCCGGCUACUCUGAAGCAACAGAGUAGGCCCAGGGCAAGGCAGAGGGGUAUCCUUGUGGGGAUUGGCAAGUGCCUCCGAAAACUUCUAAAAUAAAGCAGCUCAGUUAAGCAGAAUAACCCUCAACAAAGUGAACCUCCACUGGCUGAUUUUCAGCCAACCAGGGGCCGGGUCGCUCUCCCUAAUCCUCCUUACCUUACCAGUAAUAAUAGCAAUAAAGCAGGGGAGUUCUCACCAACCUUUUAAAUGGACCCUCUAUCGAUUGGAGGACCAAACGAUAAUACAACAACAGACCACAUCAGGGUCACCUUCUUUUACUGCAACCUUAUGCCAAUUAGUUCAAAUUGAGCCAUGCCUUAACAAAAUGGGGUUUUAUAUGUGCCCCAGCACAGGGCCCUUAUAUUGUAAUACUCCAGGACACUAUUACUGCGCUUACUGGGGGUGUGAAACGAUUGCCUCAAGCUGGCCAAUUCCUCCGGCAAAUACUGAUAAGUUCUUAAAGGUUGGAUGGGGACCUGUAGGAUGCAUUCCUCCUUCGGGAGUCAUGAACCAAGGCCGCCGACUAAAACUCGGUUAUCCUCGCAACCGAAACGAGCGGGACAGUGAUGGCGAGUGUGAAUAUAUAUUCCUUAACAUAACAAAUCCUGAACAUAGUGGAUGGCUUGUUGGGAAAACCUGGGGAAUGCGGUAUUAUGAACCAGGUGAUGAUAGGGGAGGCAUGUUCUUCAUAAAGAAGGAAGAAGUUAAACCGACCCCUCGAGCGAUAGGUCCCAAUCCAGUAGUAAAAUCCCCUCCCCCUCUGGGUAAGGAGACAAGGACAGUAGAGAAGGAGAAUGUAAUAGUAAAAGAGGAAACUGUCACUGAAGCCUUGAAAUCUCUGAAUACUGAAGCCUCGGAAUCUUUGAAUCCUCUAUGGGAAAUUAUCCAGGCUACUUAUCAAACCCUAAACUAUACUCAACCCAACUUAACCACUGGUUGCUGGUUGUGUUAUAAUGUUAAUCCACCCUUUUAUGAAGCUAUAGGGGAUAAUCGUCUGCAUACCAUAAGCAAGGAGCCUGCGCCUAUUCAGUGUCUUUGGGAAAAGCAGAAAAGAGGGAUAACUAUGCAACAUGUAACUGGGAUAGGGACUUGUAUAGGUAAAGUACCAAAUUCCAAGAGAUCACUUUGUGGGAAUAUCAUACCGAGCCUUAAUAAAACCACAGGAUAUAUUAUUCCCCCGAAUGGAACAAAAUGCAUAUGUUCCAGGACGGGACUUACUCCAUGUGUGUCUUUAAAAGUGUUUAACAGUUCCCGAGAGUAUUGCAUGUCAGUUACUAUCAUUCCAAGGAUAUUAUAUCAUCAAGAAGAUGUGAUGUAUGAUAUUUGGGAUACAGGGCUCCAUCGCACCAAGCGAGAACCUGUUACGGCUAUUACUAUAGCCACGUUGCUAGGGUUAGGGGUAGCCGGAGCAGGAACAGGGAUAGCUUCACUUGUUCAACAAAAUCAAGGAUUCAGUUCCUUGAAGACUGCCAUAGAUGAGGACCUAGAGAGAAUUGAAAACUCCAUAACCGCCUUAGAGAGAUCUCUAACCUCACUAUCUGAAGUGGUGUUACAAAACAGGAGAGGGACGGAUCUCCUUUUCUUACAGCAAGGGGGACUAUGCGCAGCCUUGAAGGAAGAGUGUUGUUUUUAUGCAUAUCACACAGGGGUAGUCCGAGACUCAAUGGCAAAAUUAAGGGAGAGACUGGAACAGAGAAAAAGGGAAAGAGAAGCUGCAAAAGGGUGGUACGAGUCUUGGUUUAUUCAGUCCCCGUGGCUAACUACAUUGCUAUCCACAAUAGCUGGACCCUUGAUGAUAUUAUUACUUACCCUAACCUUUGGACCCUGUAUCCUAAAUCGACUUAUUGGACUAGUUAAAAGCCGUGUAGAGCAGGUACACCUUAUGCUGCUACAGAAACAUGGUACUGAUGAAGAAGCUGAAAUGACCUUACUAGCCCGAGAAGCGGUAACUCGAUUUGAUCAACAAAUAAAUGAGUAAAAAAAAAAAAAAGGGGGGAAUUGUAAUAAGUGAUGGUCAAAAUUGUUAAUGUUGAACAAAUUGAGUAGGAUCCAAUUAUAUUAUGCAUAUUGUUGUAAGCAGUAACUGCGCUUGUGCAAGUUUGAUUAUGUUUUGUAGAACCUUGUAGUAGUAGUUAAGCCAACGCCUGGAUCACCUGGAUGGGGCAGCGGGGCCCGGGCCAGGCCGGCGCCCGGAUGGUGCAGCGGAUGACAAAGCGCCCAGAUGGUGCAACAGAUAACAAAACUCCCGGAUGGUGCAACAGAUAACAGAGCACCCGGAUGGUGCAACAGAUAACAGAACUCCAGAGGCAGAAACACCCAGCAACACCCAGCGCGUGAACGAGCGUAUAACAUAUAUAAGCACAUACGAAAAGUUGAGUGUGUGUGCCGGUUGGUGGAACUGAGCUUCCCCCGGUCACCCAGCGCUGUUUUGCCUAAUUACCACUUGCUCAAUAAAAUCGAUUGAUUGGCUCAAAA